rnacentral:rRNA from 2 species
UACAGAGGGUGCGAGCGUUGUCCGGAAUCACUGGGCGUAAAGGGCGCGUAGGCGGCUUGCGGCGCGUGCGGUGAAAGCCCGGGGCUCAACUCCGGGUCGGCCGUGCGGACGGGCGAGCUGGAGUCUGGUAGAGGCCGAUGGAAUUCCGGGUGUAGCGGUGGAAUGCGUAGAGAUCCGGAAGAACACCAGUGGCGAAGGCGGUCGGCUGGGCCAGUGGGCUGUGCAAACAGUCCUUGAACUGACGCUGAGGCGCGACAGCGUGGGGAGCAAACAGG